GAUGAACGCUAGCUACAGGCUUAACACAUGCAAGUCGAGGGGUAACGAGAGGGAAGCUUGCUUUCCUUGUCGACGACCGGCGCACGGGUGAGUAACGCGUAUCCAACCUGCCCCCAACUAGGGAAUAACCUUGCGAAAGUAAGACUAAUACCCUAUAAUUUCCUCAGAUGACAUCUGACGAGGAAUAAAGAUUUAUCGGUUGUGGAUGGGGAUGCGUCUGAUUAGCUUGUUGGCGGGGGAACGGCCCACCAAGGCAACGAUCAGUAGGGGUUCUGGGAGGAAGGUCCCGCACAUUGGAACUGAGACACGGUCCAAACUCCUACGGGAGGCAGCAGUGAGGAAUAUUGGUCAAUGGGCGGAAGCCUGAACCAGCCAAGUAGCGUGCAGGAUGACGGCCCUAUGGGUUGUAAACUGCUUUUAUACAGGAAUAAAGUUAGCCACGUGUGGUUAUUUGUAGGUACUGUAUGAAUAAGGACCGGCUAAUUCCGUGCCAGCCGCCGCUGUAA
rnacentral:rRNA from 1 species